AACUAUGAAUACUAGGUUUGCCUGUUAUUGCCUCUUCGUUUUAACUACUAUUCCCUGGGAUUGGAUUUGGGCCUUUCCUGCGCAGCUUAGGUGGAAGGCAUAGAAGCCCUCCUUCCGGGGGGCCUGGGCUAUCAGUGAGAUACCACUCUGGAAGGGCUAGAAUUCUAACCUUGUGUCAGGACGUACGGGCCAAAGGACAGUCUCAGGUAGAUAGUUUCUAUGGGGAAUAGGCCUCCCAAAAGGUAACGGAGGCGUGAAAAGGUUUCCUCGGGCCAGACGGAGAUUAGCCCUCAAGUGCAAAGGCAAAAGGGAGCUUAACUGCAAGACCCACCCAUCGAGCAGGGAUGAAAGUCCGCCUUAGUUAUCCGACAGUGCCGAGUGGAAGGGCCGUCGCUCAACGUAUAAAAGUUACUCUAGGGAUAACAGGCUGAUCUUCCCUAAGAGCUCACAUCGACGGGAAGGUUUGGAACCUCGAUGUCGGCUCUUUGCCACCUGGGGCUGUAGUAUGUUCCAAGGGUUGGGCUGUUCGCCCAUUAAAGCGGUACGUGAGCUGGGUUUAGAAUGUCGUGAGACAGUUUGGUCCAUAUCUGGUGUGGGCGUUAGAGCAUUGAGAGGACCUUUCCCUAGACGAGAGGACCGGGAAGGACGCACCUCUGGUGUACCAGUUAUCGUGCCCACGGUAAACGCUGGGUAGCCAAGUGCGGAGCGAAUAACUGCUAAAAGCAUCUAAGUACUAAGACCACCCCAAGAUGAGUGCUCUCCUAUUACGACUAGCCCAGAGCUUUCGGUAGCAUAACCGAGACAGUGACGGGUUCUCUGCCCCUGCGGGGAUGGAGCGACAAAAGUUUUUUUGAGAAUUCAAGAGAAGGUCACGGCGAGACGAGCCGUUUAUCAUUACGAUAGGUAUCAAGUGGAAGUGCAGUGAUGUAUGCAGCUGAGGCAUCCUAACAGACCGG
rnacentral:ncRNA from 1 species